rnacentral:ncRNA from 2 species
UUCUUAUCAAGAAAGACGGAGGGAUUAGACCCUGCGAUGUCUUAGCAACCUGUGCCAAUAAGGUGCUAAUUUCUGCCCCAAAUAUAAGGGGAAAGAUAAGCC